rnacentral:rRNA from 1 species
AACUGUCAAACUUGAGUGCAGAAGGGGAGAGUGGGAAUUCCAUGUGUAGCGGUGAAAUGCGUAGAUAUAUGGAGGAACACCGGUGGCGAAAAGCGGCUCUCUGGUCUGUAACUGACGCUGAGGCUCGAAAGCGUGGGGAGCGAACAGGAUUAGAUACCCUGGUGGUCCACGCCGUAAACGAUGAGUGCUAGGUGUUGGAUCCUUUCCGGGAUUCAGUGCCGCAGCUAACGCAUUAAGCACUCCGCCUGGGGAGUACGACCGCAAGGUUGAAACUCAAAGGAAUUGACGGGGGCCCGCACAAGCGGUGGAGCAUGUGGUUUAAUUCGAAGCAACGCGAAGAACCUUACCAGGUCUUGACAUCCCGAUGCUAUUUCUAGAGAUAGAAAGUUACUCCGGUACAUCGGUGACAGGUGGUGCAUGGUUGUCGUCAGCUCGUGUCGUGAGAUGUUG